rfam:Burkholderia udeis isolate LMG 27134 genome assembly, contig: contig000165
CUGAACGGCUCGUAAGGGACGUUGAGCGCCGUGCAGGAGUCAGCAGAAGGCAUAGUAGGGCGGCGACGCCUGAAGGCC